CUCUUGUAUUUUUGGUGGCCCCCAGGCUUCUAGAGCAUGCCGGGAUCUUUCAGUGGUCUAAGUUGAGUGUGACAGAAACCAGUUCCUUGGACAGCCCACUGAAAAGUCUGAACACCCGAUAUCUGUUCACAUCUUGGAUAUAUGGUCAGAUCUUCUCUUUCUCUCCCCAGGGAGAAGCUGGGAGCUGAGAAUUUUCUGCUGACAGUGUGGUGCUGAGCUGGGGGAAGAAACUAAGUGACCGAAGUCCAGCAUCACGCUUGCCGAGUGGCUUCUCCCACUUCGUCUCAUCAAUUAGGAAAAUGUUACCAACAGCAAUGACUUCUAGCCCCUGCAGUUUACUCACAGUUGCAGCCUAUCAGUGCUUCAUUCACGUGGAAUUAUCUUGUGUACUAAACUCUGACAUAGGUCAUUAAGUCUCUGUGCAUGAUUAAGGAUCCUAAAUAGACAAAGCAACUGUUAGAUGCUCGUUUCCUCCCGGUGCGGCUGUGUAAAGUAAGAUGGAAGCUCCUCAAGUAUCUUUCUUCUUGAAAAAGUUGCUGCUCAUUAGUGGUUGAUUACUCCAUUAGAGUUUUCAUUAGGUUGCAAACAUCAUGUAUUUCUUUACAGACAUAUUUCUAAAUAUGAUGAAGUAUUUUAUUAAACUGAA
rnacentral:lncRNA from 1 species